rnacentral:rRNA from 1 species
UUUAGAGGAAGUAAAAGUCGUAACAAGGUUUCCGUAGGUGAACCUGCGGAAGGAUCAUUAUUGAAAUAAACCUGAUGAGUUGCUGCUGGCUCUCUAGGGAGUAUGUGCACACUUGUCAUCUUUAUAUCUCCACCUGUGCACUUUUGUAGACCUGGAAUAUCUCUCUGAUGCUUGGCACUCAGGUUUGAGGAUUGACUUUUUGUCUUUCCUUAUAUUUCCAGGCCUAUGUUUCUACAUAUACCCAAUGUAUGUUAUAGAAUGUAAUAAAUGGCCUUUGUGCCUAUAAACCUUAUACAACUUUCAGCAACGGAUCUCUUGGCUCUCGCAUCGAUGAAGAACGCAGCGAAAUGCGAUAAGUAAUGUGAAUUGCAGAAUUCAGUGAAUCAUCGAAUCUUUGAACGCACCUUGCGCUCCUUGGUAUUCCGAGGAGCAUGCCUGUUUGAGUGUCAUUAAUAUAUCAACCUCUUUAACUUUUGGUUAUCGAGUGUUGGAUGUGGGGGUCUUUUUUUUGCUGGCCUCUCUGAGGUCAGCUCCCCUGAAAUACAUUAGUGGAACAAUUUGUGGACCGUUCAUUGGUGUGAUAACUAUCUACGCUAUUGACGUGAAGCAGUUCAGCUUAUAACAGUCCAUUGACUUGGACAAAUUUUCAUUAAUGUGACCUCAAAUCAGGUAGGACUACCCGCUGAACUUAAGCAUAUCAAUAAGCGGAGGA